rnacentral:lncRNA from 1 species
CAGGAGUAGACAUGCUUUAUGAUGUAUAAGCCAUUCUAUUGCUGUUACUGGCUGCUGGUGGUAGUGGUGGGUGCUACUUGUCAGCCACACCAAAUUGGAUGGUGGUGUCCUACACUAAUCAUGGGGGGCAAUUUGCAGAAGACAGGUAACUGGAGCAGAUCCCUGGAAGAGUUAAACCCGAAGGAAGAAGCCUGCAUACCAGAGAAUGCCAACAAUCAACUGCCAGCCGAAACAUCUGAACAGCCAGGCCCAGAUGCCAACAGACAAAGAGAAAUGGAGUGCUCCAGUCACCUAACAGUCAGGAAGAAUAACAAAGACAAACUAGUGAAAGAUGAUAAAACACUUAGGAAGAAACCAGGAAGAAACACCUUUCAGUUGCCACCCGCCUGCCCAAGAAACUAUAAGAGAACAGUAAGACCAACAAUAUUUUUAUGUUCUCACAAGACAAAUAAUGCAAAGAAUAAAACCCACCAUAGCCAAAACAAAAAACGUUGGGAUAUGAAACCAUUCCAAGUGACCUCCUGUGGAUCGAGAAAGUGUGAAGCCUGGGUUAGAAACUUAGAACAAGCUACAGCAGUUUUAGAAUUAAAUGUGGAGAAAAGAAAAGACAUUUGAGAUCACAUCUAGAGCCAACAAGUUGUGUGCCAGUUGGCAGUUGAAAUAAAACAUUCAAGAUGUGGGAAAAAAUAAAUUAUAGUGGUAUAGAAAAGUAGAACUAAUAGGUUCUCCUCUAGGAUUCAUAACCUUACCUGCUAUUGCCCUUGUCUUCCCCCAAGAACUUGAACACCAACACUACAGCUGAAACUGUUUUCAGAACACUAUGGGGCAGUGGCACGUAUGAACUCAUAGUUCUUAUGACUGCAUAUACAAGACAAGUACAAGAUCAAUUCAGACAAAAACUCAGCAGUUGUUACUGUGAACCCUGUAUUUAGUUAUUCUCAUAUUACAAGAAAAUAACCACUUUAAAACAGAAGGGAUGAUGCCUGUGUACAUUUACUCAGGCAAAUCUUGUGUUUUCAGGAAUCUACAGAUUUCAAAUGGUGUCACAUUCCCCAAAUCAUUUUACAAGCAGAAAUAUUGUUUAAGCAGCUACACAGACAUCCCUGAUGCCAGUCAAUUGACACUUGAAAUGAGGAGACUUCCAAUCCACCAAUAAUCAUACUGAAAUAAUCAUUAUGCUGCCCCUGGUGUAUCUGUGGUUUUACUGUAACACAGCAAUCAUCAUUGCAGUUCAAGGUACAUUGUUUGGCAGAGGCAUUUAUACCUUCAAGAAGAACUCUUCAUUCUCCUCUUUAAAGUCUGAUGAAAGCUUGUUCUGGAAAACCUUCAAAAUCAGGAAAUAAAGCUUCAUAUGCUAUCCUCAUUGCUUGAUUGGCUUCCAUGAGUGAAUUCUCAAGACAACUGGGUCAAAGCAUAUCAGUAUACUUCCUGAGGCUCAGGAAUCUCUUUUGGUAAUCUGGAGCACUGAAGAGUUGCAGACUUACUGAAUGUAGGACUGCUCAAUCCCUUUAGAAGAAAUGGUGCAGUAGACAGGAGAAUAGCAUGACUAGCCUUCGAGAGGCCAGACAAGCAGCUGAGAGAUCCAGAUGCUGAUAUUUACACUCAACCAAUGGAGAGAAGCCGAGGACUCCUGUCGUUGAAUUAGGCAAAGGAUGGAAAAAGCUGAGAAGGAGGGCAACCCCAUAAGAAGACCAGCAGUCUCAACUAACCUGAACCACCGAUAUCUCUCAGACACUGAGCCACCAACCAGGUAGCCUACACAAGCUUAUAAGAGGCUGCUGAUACAUAUACAGCAGUCUCUGU